rnacentral:rRNA from 1 species
UACGAAGGGGGCUAGCGUUGUUCGGAAUCACUGGGCGUAAAGGGCGCGUAGGCGGCUCGAUAAGUCGGGGGUGAAAGCCUGUGGCUCAACCACAGAAUUGCCUUCGAUACUGUCGAGCUUGAGACCGGAAGAGGUAAGUGGAACUGCGAGUGUAGAGGUGAAAUUCGUAGAUAUUCGCAAGAACACCAGUGGCGAAGGCGGCUUACUGGUCCGGUUCUGACGCUGAGGCGCGAAAGCGUGGGGAGCAAACAGG